rnacentral:rRNA from 1 species
UAGGGAAUCUUCGGCAAUGGGGGGAACCCUGACCGAGCAACGCCGCGUGAGUGAAGAAGGUUUUCGGAUCGUAAAGCUCUGUUGUUAAGGAAGAACGAGUGUGAGAAUGGAAAGUUCAUGCUGUGACGGUACUUAACCAGAAAGGGACGGCUAACUACGUGCCAGCAGCCGCGGUAAUACGUAGGUCCCGAGCGUUGUCCGGAUUUAUUGGGCGUAAAGCGAGCGCAGGCGGUUAGAAAAGUCUGAAGUGAAAGGCAGUGGCUCAACCAUUGUAGGCUUUGGAAACUGUUUAACUUGAGUGCAGAAGGGGAGAGUGGAAUUCCAUGUGUAGCGGUGAAAUGCGUAGAUAUAUGGAGGAACACCGGUGGCGAAAGCGGCUCUCUGGUCUGUAUCUGACGCUGCGGCUCGAAAGCGUGGGGAGCGAACAGG